ACCCCUUAGACAGAGUGGUGCAGACACCAGAAAUGCCUUGAGCACCAAGUCUGUGCUGAUGUCCAGCUCCUGGAGGGCUCGGGCUACGCACUGCAGCCACCAGAGGGGACCCAUCUGCAGAGUGGCAGGCGGAAUAGGCCUCCCAGGGCAGCUGGAUGCCCACCUGGCCACAAAGCCAUUCUUCAGCCUCACACUUACCUCUUCUGAAGGGUAACCAGGUGUGGUUUCCACCCAGCCCAGCUGCCUGCCUUGGGAGGCAGCAGAGACUGUCACCCUCUGCUGGCCAAUUCCUGUUACUGCAGAAGGAGGUAAAGUGGCCUCAGCAUGGGCAGAGCAGCAGAGAGGAGCCAGUUACUCAAAGGGCAGAUACUCCAUGGAAGCCUCCAGCACAAGCAGUCAACCCCUAAAGCCUCCAACGGAGUUUCUCACUGGAGUGGCUUCAGGAAAUGCAAAUCGAAUGUCUGUAGUGGUAUUUAAAGACAUGAAGGGUUUCGAUGUGUGUUCAACUGAAAAUAUGAAUAAAUGUCUUUUGGGAUGUA